UACGUAGGGACCAAGCGUUGUUCGGAUUUACUGGGCGUAAAGGGCGCGUAGGCGGCAUGACAAGUCACUUGUGAAAUCUCUGGGCUUAACCCAGAACGGCCAAGUGAUACUGUCACGCUAGAGUGCGGAAGGGGCAAUCGGAAUUCUUGGUGUAGCGGUGAAAUGCGUAGAUAUCAAGAGGAACACCUGAGGUGAAGACGGGUUGCUGGGCUGACACUGACGCUGAGGCGCGAAAGCUAGGGUAGCAAACGGG
rnacentral:rRNA from 1 species